CCUACGGGGGGCAGCAGUGAGGAAUAUUGGUCAAUGGCCGGAAGGCUGAACCAGCCAUGCCGCGUGAAGGUCAGUGCCCUAUGGGCGUUAAACUUCUUUUGUGCGGGAGCAAUAAUGGUCACGUGUGGCCAGACGAGAGUACCGUACGAAUAAGCAUCGGCUAACUCCGUGCCAGCAGCCGCGGUAAAACGGGGGAUGCAAGCGUUGUCCGGAUUUUGUGGGGUUAAAGGGUGAGUAAGCUGGGGUGUAAGUCAGCGGGUAAAUGGCCCCGCUCAAAGGGUUGAAGUGCCAUUGAUACUGGCUUGCUUGAGUGCGGAUGCCGUGGGAGGAAUGUGUGGUGUAGCGGUGAAAUGCAUAGAUAUCACACAGAACACCGAUUGCGAAGGCAUCGCACGAAUCCGCGAUUGACGCUGAUGCACGAAAGCGUGGGUAUCAAACAGGAUUAGAUACCCGGGUAGUC
rnacentral:rRNA from 1 species